rnacentral:rRNA from 1 species
AGUGAACGCUGGCGGUAGGCCUAACACAUGCAAGUCGAACGGCAGCACAGUAAGAGCUUGCUCUUACGGGUGGCGAGUGGCGGACGGGUGAGGAAUACAUCGGAAUCUACUUUUUCGUGGGGGGUAACGUAGGGAAACUUACGCUAAUACCGCAUACGACCUACGGGUGAAAGCAGGGGAUCUUCGGACCUUGCGCGACUGAAUGAGCCGGUGUCGGAUUAGCUAGUUGGCGGGGUAAAGGCCCACCAAGGCGACGACCCGUAGCGGGUCUGAGAGGAUGAUCAGCCACACUGGGACUGAGACACGGUCCAGACUCCUACGGGAGGCAGCAGUGGGGAAUAUUGGACAAAGGGCGCAAGCCUGAUCCAGCCAUACCGCGUGGGUGAAGAAGGCCUUCGGGUUGUAAAGCCCUUUUGUUGGGAAAGAAAAGCAGCAUGUUAAUACCCCGCUGUUCUGACGGUACCCAAAGAGUAAGCACCGGCUAACUUCGUG